rnacentral:rRNA from 1 species
CACCGGCGUAAAGAGUGGUUAUGGAAAACUAGCAAAACUAAAGCCGAAUGCCCCCAAGGCUGUUAUACGCACCCGAGGGCCAGAAACCCAACUACGAAAGUGGCUUUACCCAACCUGAACCCACGAAAGCUAUGACACAAACUGGGAUUAGAUACCCCACUAUGCUUAGCCGUAAACAAUGAUAACACCCCACAAUUGUUAUCCGCCCGGGUACUACGAGCACUAGCUUAAAACCCAAAGGACUUGGCGGUGCUUUAGAUCCACCUAGAGGAGCCUGUUCUAGAACCGAUAAUCCCCGUUAAACCUCACCCCUCCUUGUUCUCCCCGCCUAUAUACCGCCGUCGUCAGCUUACCCUGUGAAGGACCAAUAGUAAGCGAAAUUGGCACAGCCCAAAACGCCAGGUCGAGGUGUAGCGUAUGGAGGGGGAAGAAAUGGGCUACAUUCAGUGAACCACUGAACACGGAAGGUGGGCUGAAACGCCCGCCCGAAGGAGGAUUUAGCAGUAAGCGGGAAAUAGAGUGUCCCACUGAAACCGGCCCUGAAGCGCGUACACACCGCCCGUCACUCUCCCCGAGACGAAGAAAACAUAUACUUAAGACCCAAUCACUA